GAUGAACGCUAGCGGCAGGCUUAAUACAUGCAAGUCGAGGGGCAGCGCAGUGUAGCAAUACAUGGGCGGCGACCGGCAAACGGGUGCGGAACACGUACGCAACCUACCCAUAACUGAUGAAUAGCCCUCCGAAAGGAGGAUUAAUACAUCGUAACUUAAUGAAGUGGCAUCGCUUUAUUAAUAUAGCUCCGGCGGUUUUGGAUGGGCGUGCGCCUGAUUAGGUAGUUGGCGGGGUAACGGCCCACCAAGCCUGCGAUCAGUAACUGGUGUGAGAGAACGACCAAUCACACGGGAACUGAGACGCGGGCCUGACUCCUACGGGAGGCAGCAGUAAGGAAUAUUGGUCAAUGGACGCAAGUCUGAACCAGCCAUGCCGCGUGAAGGAUGAAGGUCCUCUGGAUUGUAAACUUCUUCUGAAUGGGACGAAACCUCUUUUUCUUGAGAGACUGACGGUACCAUUAGAAUAAGCACCGGCUAACUCCGUGCCAGCCGCCGCAGUAAAAC
rnacentral:rRNA from 1 species